rnacentral:lncRNA from 1 species
AAGUAGGGAUGGUUGUAAGCACAAGGAGGGAAGAUUGAGGUUGGAUGUCAGGAGGAAGUUCUUUACAGAGAGAGUGGUGAGGUGCUGGAACAGCUGCCCAGAGAGGCUGUGGAUGCCCCGUCCAUCCCUGGAGGUGUUCAAGGCCAGGUUGGAUGGGGCCCUGGGCAGCCUGGGCUGCUAUGAAAUGUGAAGGUUGGUGGCCCCGCAUGUGGCAGGGGGGGUGGAGAUUCAUCAUCCUUGAGGUCCCUUCCAACCCGGGCCUUUCUGUGAUUCUGUGAUUAUCACAGAUAAGCAAUAAAUCUGGAAGUAACUAUCGCUUCGAGCAAGCACCUUAAUUAGGCAAAAUGGCAGAUAUUUAAGGAUAUUGGUCCUAUCAUAGCACAGAUCAGCACAGGUCUGGAAGUUCUACACAGAACUAUAAGUCUGAGCACAACUGGCAGACAACUAGCUCUAAGACAUCAGCUGUAGGAAACCCAGAUGGUUCUGCUGGGAGUUCAGAGCAGGCAGUGAUGUGCACUGCUGCCUUUCUCCACGGGACCCAGGCGGCGUGCUGCAUGUGCCGCACAUCUGCUAAAACCACACGUGGGUGAGGUUUUCCCUCAGCUUCCUCCUCUCCAAACUGAGCAGCCCCGCUUCCUUCAGCCGCUCCUCCGAACUCUCAUCCUCCAGCCCCAGCGGCGGGGCGGGGCGGGGCGGAGCCGCCUCACAGCCGCUCCGGAGGCGGCGGGACGCUUCGCGCGCGGGCUGUGGAGGUGAGGGGGCUGUGGGGCGGGGGGGGGCGGCUCGCCCUCUGACACCCCGAACACCCUGUCGACAUCGGCUUCAGCUCGAUGACACCCAGAAAGAAGCUGGAGGGUCUGGUCGCUGCCACAGUCACCCCAAUGACUCCUGAUGGGUAAGCAUCGCCUGGUCGUGUCAACACUGUCAGCUAUUUCCUUUCUUCUUUGGAACGGAUCGCUUUGGCUUGCCAUUUGAUCAGAUCUCUGGGAUGAGGAACUGCUGGGUGAGAGGCUGUCGUGCAGGUUGGAUCAGUCCUUAAUCCGUUUUGUUUUUUUUGUAGGUGCA